GAUGAACGCUGGCGGCGUGCCUAACACAUGCAAGUCGAACGAAGCAAUAAAGACGGAGAUUCGUCAAAGCCUUUAUUGACUUAGUGGCGGACGGGUGAGUAACGCGUGAGCAACCUGCCUUUCAGAGGGGGACAACAGUUGGAAACGGCUGCUAAUACCGCAUAAUGUACAGAGGGGGCAUCCCUUUUGUAUCAAAGGAGAAAUCCGCUGAAAGAUGGGCUCACGUCUGAUUAGCUAGUUGGUGGGGUAAAGGCCUACCAAGGCUGCGAUCAGUAGCCGGACUGAGAGGUUGAACGGCCACAUUGGGACUGAGAUACGGCCCAG
rnacentral:rRNA from 1 species